UUUCUGUGACAUCAGAACAGAGACAGCACUUCAUUCGUCUUUGUAGCCCCAGCAGGAUUCUAGCAACAGUGUAGAGGCUCAGUUAGGCUUGAUUACUGAAAAAAUACCAAGAGCUGUUCUACAUAAUCGAGUUGAAAGAAAAAAAGAAAAAAAGCUUGCCAUGGAGGAAGACAGGGAGGAUACCAAGAGCUGUUCUACAUAAUCGAGUUGAAAGAAAAUGAGUAUAGCACAAAAGCGGAGAGAAGAAGUGGCAAACACGAUGAGACAUCACUUGGCUUCCUUGUUGAAGAGACCCAUCUGGCAAGAAACUGAGAGCAGUCUUCAACCAACAGCCAGCAAGGAACUAAGGCCGUCAGUUCAACCACCCACAAGGAACCAAAUCUCUUGGCAACAUCUGUGUGAGCUUGGAAGUGAAUUCUUUCCAGCUGAGCCCUAAGAUGACUACAGCCCAGCUGACUUGACUGCAGCUUGUUAGAGAUGCUGUAGUAGAGGACCACUAAGCCCUGCCUGGAUUCCUGAACCACACAAACUGUGAGAUAAUACAUGUGUUUUAAGCUGCUGAAUUUGGGGGUAAUUUGUUUCAUAGCAAUAGAUACCUAAUAUCCUUGAUAUUGAGAAAUCACAUAUAAUUUGUUAUCUGCCACCACAGAUAUCUAAACACCAGUGACCAUCUUUUGUUCCUCCCCCUGGUGUUUACUUAAUUGCUUAAAACUCCAUCUGGUCACCUAGCACCUAGCUCUAAAUACCACUCUCCAUUAAAACCAACUAGGGCUCUUGGGGAAAUAGUUGAUUCCAGGAUUGGGGCAAAAAAAAGCACAAGCAGAGCCUGAAACAUUUUUUGAUGCAAGAAAGUAAGGAGUGCUCCCUAAAAUCAUGAGGCAAGUCAAAAGGGUACAGAAACCAACUUAAAGAGCCCCCACUGGUAAAAUAUGGAACAACAUGAACAAGAAAAUAAAUAAUGAUUGUAAUAGAUUAUAACCCAUAGAAUAAAAUAAAUAAUUAGGAGUUCGUACUUAUGUAAAUAAACACAUGAAAAAAUACAUGUGUGAGAAGGGACAGCAGAAUUUAAUUAGUAAAUAUGGUCAGAAUGAGGCAAAUAGAAAGUAACUAUUAGACAAAUUCCACAGUAAUCAUUAUGGAUGACAUUCUUGCAUGACAAAAGACAGUGCGUUUACAUAGUCUCAAAUUAUCUUCUUAUAUUUAUUGCUUAUAAAGAGAAAAAUAAUUUUUUAAAAAGUGGAGAAAUCUGUAAGAUACCACCUUAACCUAGUGAUCAAAUUUAGCACCACCUGUGAUAAGAUGUAACAUAUCAAGAUCAUGUAUGUCCUGUUAUCAUUCACUAAGAAGGACAUAGCAUCACUUUGGCAGUCUUGCCAAAAAUGUUUAGCUUCAGUCUAUUGAUAUUUAUUUUAAAAAUCGGACUGAUGCACAAUGAGAGUUUUUACUAUUAUCUUACUCCAUUGAGCUCUCUGAGUCUUGGUUUCUUUAUCUGGAAAAUAAGGGUGUUGGACUGGCUAGUAUUCUUCGAAAGUGUUCAAGUCAUAGAUGAUAAAGAAAGACAGAACUGCACAAAACAAAGGAGACUAUGGAGACACAACGACAUGACAUGUUCAAUCAGAAAAGGGACAUUAGAGGGAAAACUGGCAAAACCCAAAUAAGAAAGAAGAAUGGGACCACGGGCUGGAUGAGUAACCAUCAUUGUAUCAAUGUUAAUUUCCUACUUUUGAUACUUAUAUUGUCGUUAUGUAAAAUAUUGAUACAAGGAGAAGCUGGGGGUAAAAAGUAAAGAGAAAGUCACUACACUUUUUGUAACUUUUCUACAAGUCUAAAGUUAUUUUAAAAUGAAAAGUUUAAUAAUAAAGAACAUCUGAUAUUCUAAGAGGACAUUCUGGUAGCCUUUCAGUCUCAUACCACAAGCAAACAGGUGCAACACCUUUGAUGUGGGCUACAAAAGAGUCUCUUCUUGACAGAUAUUAAUCAACCCACGUCAAAGAACAGCCUGCUUUUGAACAACAGGUGGAGCUGGCAUUUCUGCUCUAUUGACAAUUUUUUAUCUAAACUCUUAGAAGACAUUAGUUCAGUUUUAAUUAAUCACUUCUAACUUUAUAGAAUUAAGAGUCUACAGGUUUUAGUCUCGAUUCUUCACUUCAUUAAUGAAAGAAGAAAUUGCUCAUCUAAACUGUUAGCAAACACGAAAGGCCUCUAUAAGUUUACAUUGUUUAGUAUGAUGUACAUAGUCAAACCUCAGUUAUCUGCAAAAAUAUUCAGAUCAUAGCACUGAGCAGACCACUUUAUAGAUUAUUUCUUUUAUUCCUUCAAUAACAUUGUGAGUUAGGCACAGAUGAGUCUGCAAACAUAUAUUCGCUAGUAAUAUCUGGCAUCUGAGAAAGAGCUGGGUGGGUUACAUUGGGGCCCAGGAAAGGUCUGUGCUGGAGAAGUGACUGAGUUGUCACAACACCCACUAUUUGAUCUAUUCCCUUCUAGUUAUGUCUUUUAAAUCCAUUUACUCUGUCAGCACCGGGGAAGAGGAGUAGGCAUGGAAGGAGGAAGGAAGAGACGAAAGAAAGAAAGAAGGAAAAAACAUCUCAAAUUGCAUGAAGAGUCUCAACCUUGUCAUAAAAAUAUAACUUUCAGUUUGAUGUGUUUUAAAUUAGAAUCUAAGUUUCCAGUUGGAGGAGACUCAGGGGGAACAUGAAAGACAGUUUUUAAAAUGUGAAGGGCUGUUCGGGGAAAGGGGGAUUCGAAUUGUUGUGUGUGGCCUGAGAAAGAAGAAUGGGACCACGGGCUGGAAGU